rnacentral:lncRNA from 10 species
CUGGAGUGCUUACCCUUGCUUUUUUUAUUCAUAAUUGUAUCAUCACACUCUUGAAGAACAACAAGAAACAAGAAAACAAUGUGAGGGACUUGUGCAUUGCUUAUAUGCUGGUGACAUUAACUUAUCUCUAUAUUGGAGUCCUGGUUUUUGCUUCAUUUCCUUCACCACCAUUAUCCAAAGAUUGUAUUGAGCAGAAUUUUUUAGACAACUUCCCUAGCAGUGACACCCUGUCCUUCAUUGCAAGGAUAUUCCUGCUGUUCCAGAUGAUGACUGUAUACCCACUCUUAGGCUACCUGGCUCGUGUCCAGCUUUUGGGCCAUAUCUUCGGUGACAUUUAUCCUAGGUAAGGGCUCUUCUCUUGACCAGCAGGAUGUGCCAAGCAACAAAUGACUGUGCAAGCAGGUCAGUUUAAAGUGUGACUGAUCCUUUUGCUAUAAAAAUGCCUAAUGCAAGUGGUGACUAAAGAUAGAUCAUUGGUGUCCUCUUCCCUGAAGAGCUUUAAAAAUAGAAGCCACUCCCUUGUCUAGAAUGAUUUAAAGUUCAUUCCUUCCAGUAUAGUUAAUUAGCUCCGAUACCAUUUAUAUUUAUCUUAUUAUUUAAUUGCUAUUGAUUUACAUAUUGUCAAGAAGUUUAUAGUGUAUAGUACCUAUGUUGGCAAUGUGUAGCUAAUGAGAAGCAACACUUUUAAUUAUUGGUCAUUG